rnacentral:tRNA from 1 species
GCAGUGGUUGUUCAGUGGUAGAAUUGUCGUCUUCCAUGUGGGAGACCUGGGUUCAAUUCCCAGCCAAUGCA